GACGGAGGAUGCAAGUGUUAUCCGGAAUCACUGGGCGUAAAGCGUCUGUAGGUGGUUUCAUAAGUCAACUGUUAAAUCUUGAGGCUCAACCUCAAAAUCGCAGUCGAAACUAUGAGACUAGAGUAUAGUAGGGGUAAAGGGAAUUUCCAGUGGAGCGGUGAAAUGCGUAGAUAUUGGAAAGAACACCGAUGGCGAAGGCACUUUACUGGGCUAUUACUAACACUCAGAGACGAAAGCUAGGGUAGCAAAUGGG
rnacentral:rRNA from 1 species